rnacentral:rRNA from 1 species
UACGGGGGGGGCAAGCGUUGUUCGGAAUUACUGGGCGUAAAGGGCUCGUAGGCGGCCAACUAAGUCAGACGUGAAAUCCCUCGGCUUAACCGGGGAACUGCGUCUGAUACUGGAUGGCUGGAGGUUGGGAGAGGGAUGCGGAAUUCCAGGUGUAGCGGUGAAAUGCGUAGAUAUCUGGAGGAACACCGGUGGCGAAGGCGGCAUCCUGGACCAAUUCUGACGCUGAUGAGCGAAAGCCAGGGGAGCAAACGGG